rnacentral:rRNA from 1 species
UACGGGAGGCAGCAGUGGGGAAUAUUGGACAAUGGGGGCAACCCUGAUCCAGCAAUGCCGCGUGUGUGAAGAAGGCCUUCGGGUUGUAAAGCACUUUUAUCAGGAACGAAACGCGCUUGGUGAAUAGCCAGGUGAACUGACGGUACCUGAGGAAUAAGCACCGGCUAACUUCGUGCCAGCAGCCGCGGUAAUACGAAGGGUGCAAGCGUUACUCGGAAUUACUGGGCGUAAAGGGUGCGUAGGUGGUUGUUUAAGUCUGCUGUGAAAGCCCCGGGCUCAACCUGGGAAUGGCAGUGGAUACUGGGCAGCUAGAAUGCGGUAGAGGGUAGUGGAAUUCCCGGUGUAGCAGUGAAAUGCGUAGAGAUCGGGAGGAACACCAGUGGCGAAGGCGGCUACCUGGACCAGCAUUGACACUCAAGCACGAAAGCGUGGGGAGCAAACAGGAUUAGAUACCCUGGUAGUCCACGCCCUAAACGAUGCGAACUGGACGUUGGGAGCAACUUGGCUCUCAGUGUCGAAGCUAACGCGUUAAGUUCGCCGCCUGGGGAGUACGGUCGCAAGACUGAAACUCAAAGGAAUUGACGGGGGCCCGCACAAGCGGUGGAGUAUGUGGUUUAAUUCGAUGCAACGCGAAGAACCUUACCUGGCCUUGACAUGUCCGGAAUCGAGCAGAGAUGCUUGAGUGCCUUCGGGAAUCGGAACACAGGUGCUGCAUGGCUGUCGUCAGCUCGUGUCGUGAGAUGUUGGGUUAAGUCCCGCAACGAGCGCAACCCUUGUCCUUAGUUGCCAGCGAGUAAUGUCGGGAACUCUAAGGAGACUGCCGGUGACAAACCGGAGGAAGGUGGGGAUGACGUCAAGUCCUCAUGGCCCUUACGGCCAGGGCUACACACGUACUACAAUGGUCGGUACAGAGGGUUGCGAAGCCGCGAGGUGGAGCCAAUCCCAGAAAGCCGAUCCCAGUCCGGAUCGAAGUCUGCAACUCGACUUCGUGAAGUCGGAAUCGCUAGUAAUCGCGGAUCAGCUAUGCCGCGGUGAAUACGUUCCCGGGCCUUGUACACACCGCCCGUCACACCAUGGGAGUGGGUUGCUCCAGAAGCAGGUAGUCUAACCGCAAGGAGGACGCUUGCCACGGAGUGGUUCAUGACUGGGGUGAAGUCGUAACAAGGUAACC